GGGGGCGACUGGUUUCGACACGAUAGUUCCGACGGAGGAAGCAGGCCGAGGUCUCCUCGCCUCGUUAAACAGGGGUACCCGCUGAUUAAUCGGCGAAAAUAACUACGCACUCGCUGCCUAAUAGUGCAGCGACGCCAACCCGGUAGGAGUCUCCGCUACCGGUAAGGCGCCAUUGAAGGAGACUGCCGCUGCGUACGUGGGCGUGUAUGACGUAGCGAAAGACUGAACCGC
rnacentral:tmRNA from 1 species